CAGUAGCCGCGGGAAUACGUAGGUGGCAAGCGUUGUCCGGAAUUAUUGGGCGUAAAGCGCGCGCAGGUGGUUUAAUAAGUCUGAUGUGAAAGCCCACGGCUCAACCGUGGAGGGUCAUUGGAAACUGUUAAACUUGAGUGCAGGAGAGAAAAGUGGAAUUCCUAGUGUAGCGGUGAAAUGCGUAGAGAUUAGGAGGAACACCAGUGGCGAAGGCGGCUUUUUGGCCUGUAACUGACACUGAGGCGCGAAAGCGUGGGGAGCAAACAGGAUUAGAUACCCCUGUAGUCCCUGUCUCUUAUAC
rnacentral:rRNA from 1 species